rnacentral:rRNA from 1 species
UACAGAGGUGCCAAGCGUUGUUCGGAUUUAUUGGGCGUAAAGGGUGCGUAGGCGGUGAUGCAAGUCGGGUGUGAAAUACUGGAGCCUAACUCCAGAACGGCAUUCGAAACUGCAUCGCUAGAGAACCGGAGAGGUGAGUGGAAUUCUCGGUGUAGCAGUGAAAUGCGUAGAUAUCGAGAGGAACACCAGAGGCGAAAGCGACUCACUGGACAGAUUCUGACGCUGAGGCACGAAAGCUAGGGGAGCAAACGGG